UGGGGGAUAUUGCACAAUGGGGGAAACCCUGAUGUAGCAAUGCCGCGUGAGGGAAGAAGGUCUUCGGAUUGUAAACCUAAGUAGCCAGGGACGAUAAUGACGGUACCUGGAGAGUAAGCUCCGGCUAACUACGUGCCAGCAGCCGCGGUAAUACGUAGGGAGCGAGCGUUGUCCGGAAUUACUGGGCGUAAAGCGCACGCAGGCGGCGUGACGCGUCAGAAGUGAAAUCCCCGGGCUCAACCUGGGAACUGCUUUUGAAACGGUCAUGCUUGAAUCAUGGAGAGGGUAGCGGAAUUCCGAGUGUAGAGGUGAAAUUCGUAGAUAUUCGGAAGAACACCGGUGGCGAAGGCGGCUACCUGGCCAUGUAUUGACGCUCAGGUGCGAAAGCGUGGGGAGCAAACA
rnacentral:rRNA from 1 species